GACGAACGCUGGCGGCGUGCUUAACACAUGCAAGUCGAACGGAAAGGCCCUGCUUUUGUGGGGUGCUCGAGUGGCGAACGGGUGAGUAACACGUGAGUAACCUGCCCUUGACUUUGGGAUAACUUCAGGAAACUGGGGCUAAUACCGGAUAGGAGCUCCUGCUGCAUGGUGGGGGUUGGAAAGUUUCGGCGGUUGGGGAUGGACUCGCGGCUUAUCAGCUUGUUGGUGGGGUAGUGGCUUACCAAGGCUUUGACGGGUAGCCGGCCUGAGAGGGUGACCGGCCACAUUGGGACUGAGAUACGGCCCAGACUCCUACGGGAGGCAGCAGUGGGGAAUAUUGCACAAUGGGCGGAAGCCUGAUGCAGCAACGCCGCGUGCGGGAUGACGUCCUUCGGGUUAUAAACCGCUUUCGCCUGUGACGAAGCGUGAGUGACGGUAAUGGGUAAAGAAGCACCGGCUAACUACGUG
rnacentral:rRNA from 1 species